GGCUACCAGGAGCUCGCUGGGUCCUCCCCGCACCCUUUCCCCAGGCCUCUGCGGUAGCCCUAGAGAAAAUGGGAGGCCAAUAGGGCUCAGCGAUGCUUUUUCUUCUCCCUUUUGUUUCUUGGUCCCUCUCCCCCCAACUCUCUCCGUUACUUGAGGGUCUCCCUUGCCCAUUUCGAUGCCUGCUUCCUUUCUCCUCUAGGGUCGGUGCUGCCCCGAGAAGCGCAAGGGGUGGCUGGGGCAUCUCUCCCAAUGCCUGGGGACCUGGCACCCGCUGGACUACAAGAAGGAGAGGCUGGGGUGGGACACAGCUCCUCAGGGAACACAGAUUGCCCUCGGGGCAGCUUUUCUGCCUCAAGAUGUCCCCUUAUCUGGGGAAGCUGACAUUCAGCUAGUGCUGGUUUGAGGAGGGGGUGGGGUGAGAUUUAGAGCCAAGAGGGCCAGUCUGCCAUUUCCUCUCUGUGCGUCAUUUCCAAAAUGGGCUCAAAUGGACAGGCUCUCAAGGGCCCCACGCUGUACACACCUUCCUACCACCGCGAGGCUGGCACCAACCUUUUCAACACAUUUUGGGAAUAAUAAAAACACCCAGAUUAGAAGUUGUCAAGGACAGGUGGGAUGGGGAUAAAUAAUACUCAACAUUUUUCAUUAUUCAUAUAAUCUGCCUCUCUUAAAACUGGUAAGGAAAGGAGGGGAUCUGAUGGAAACUUGUGAAACGCCACAAGGUAAACUAAAAACCUUCAUUUUAGGCAUGAAUUAGAAUUUUGUGGGACUUGUACUUGGGCAGGAUCCACCUUGGAUCCACUUGUACUUGGGCAGCUAGGCAGGCUCCCAUGAGCUGGGCCAUAGUCUGUGAGGGUUACAAGCACUGGAAAUUAGUGCUAUAGCUGUAGUCUGUGAGGAGGGUUACAUGCACUGGAAAUUAGCAAUAUGGGCUGGAGAUAUAGCUCAACAGCACAGCACCUGCCUGGCAAGUGCGAGGUCAUGAGUUCGAUUCCCGGUAUCAAAAAGAAAAGAAAUUAAUAAUGUAUUCUAAGUUGUAAAAAAAAAAUCAUGGGUAGUUGCUGCUAGUAGACUGCCCCAUUGAUACUGUCAGAAUUACAGUAGCAAAGACUGGGUUGGGGAACAUACCUUCUCUCAAACCCAUAGGAAGAAUGUAGACGCUUAAAAGCCUUUUUACCCUUCCUGGAGUUAUGGUCAUUCUGCCUGAAUUUGCCUUACACCAGUGCUCUGUAAGGCAGAAGGCCAUGCCCUGGGUUGUUUAUUAAUUCUAGUCUGUGUUAUCUACAUAUCAGAGCUCUCUUUGGAAAGGCUUUGGACUGUAUAUGCUAUGUGAAAGGGCUGAUGUAGCCAUCUUCUAGAAUGUUCAAGACUCCCACAUCCUGUGUAGUGGGAAAGGUUGCUUGCUCUUGAAUGGAAACCUUGGGGACCUGGUAGGUGUUUUUUUCCAGAGCAGGCUUUUGGGACAGUUGUCCCUUCCUUUCUGCUUUGGCCCCUUUAGUUCUAGAUCACUUAGGGUCACCUGUGGAAUCCUUCCAAGCUCAUUCCUUGGUGGCUCUGUACUACUAGGCUGAGCUACCACAGCUUGCAUGCUUAGAAAGAUGAAGUUGAAUGAGUUCAGCCCCAGGCCUUGGCUUGAUUUCUUCAGCCACUCUUGGCAAGACCAUUAUGGUCCAUUUCAGCCCUGAUGCCUGGACAAUUCCAAAAGCCCUGGGGGAGAAGGAAGGGCAGCAUCCCCUAUGGCAAUGGUGAUGAGAUUGGAGCCUGUGGCAGGUGUGCUACAGUGGGCUGUUGGUAUCACUGAAAGCUCUACAAGCCUUGCCACCACUGCCCUGGGGGCUCUGAGAUGCCUGUUUCUCCAAAUCCAACCUAAGCAAAAUGACCUUGCAGCCUCCUUAUAGCAGGGCAGCUAGGGAGGCUCCCAUGAGCUGGGCCAGCAUUUGUGCCAUAUCUGCAGCAGCCAUAGCCCCUCACUAUCCCCAUCUAUCUCUUCUUGCAACCCAGACAACUGCCCCCCUGAUUCCAUCUCCCUGGCAACGGAUCUGCACGGUGCUGACAUGCGCCCAUCUCACUGCAGAUGCUAGAUGGCCAUUAGCGUGCUGCCGAAUGUUCCUGGCACUUGUCAGCCUCACUCUGGCCCACACUUCUUGACUGGGUGAGGGGCAGAGGAUGAGAGAACAGAGUGAAAAGGGAGGAGGUGGCCUCUUGUCCAAGCAAGGCUCACAGCCAAAAGGAGGAAGAAUGGAGCCCAGUCCUGGGGGUACAGACUGUGGGAUAAAUCUGCAUGGUAGCAGUGGCCCAUGUGGACCUUGGAUCCCCUGUGUAAUAUACACACUGUUGUAUUAGCUUGGUGCAGUUUCUACCAUAGUACCUGGAAUUCUGUCUUUGGAGUUAAUGCAAGUCCCUUUUUCAGUACCAGCAUUUCCUUGAAAGUGACCAACCAUUGGCAUCUUGACUCAAAUGGCUUUAUAACUCAAGACCUGACACUGAAGGAAAGGGAUUAAGACAGGAUAGGCUGAAGCUGAAGUCCAUAGUGGCAGUCUGCCUAGGUCAUGCAGUUUCCUCCCUGGGCCCUGGAUACUCUCCGACAUCACGCCCUGCAGAAAUCUCACCUGCAGGAAGAACCCAAUGAAAAGAACAGUGCUACACGCACACCUGCGCAGAGCACUGUCGGCAAGUGUGAGGGCUGUGUGCAUUAGAUAAUACCUGAUGGUGUCAGUGCAGUCACACUUGUGCCUUUGAUGUGUUAUCCUGUGAAAAUAAAAAAAAUUCAAAAUUGA